GUCCACCAGGGCCUGUAUAUAUAAACAACCGGGCACGCGCCUCAACUCAACCCUCCCACACAACUACACGAGUCCCAAACCAUCUGCAAGCAUCGUUCAUCCUAGCCAGGCUCCUAACUUACUUGUACCUUACUUAGACAAGGAAGCAACGGCAGCAGCAAGAAUAGUUGAGGAGAAGGAGAGGAGGAGCUGAUAAGGCAUGGCGUCCAUGAUGGGAGGAGACUUCGUGGAGGCCUACGUGCUCAGGAACGCCUACAAGGAGAAGCUGAGGCGCAUGGACCAAGCCGAAGCUGCGGCGGCGCAAAGAGCACCAAGGACGCCGCCGGUGCCGCUGGAGAGAAGAAGAAGGCUGCUGCUGGCGGCGGUGGUGGUGCGAGCAGCAGGGGAGGCUUCUUUGGCCUCGUGAAGAAGAAGGUGCACCCCAAACCCAAAGCAGCAGCCGCGGCCACUUCCUCUUGAUUAUACUACUGUAUUCGCCAUGCCACCAAGUUGUAAGCCGCAGCUUUCUUCUAGCUAGGAGCGUAUGUGUGUGUAUGUUUGUUCUUUCGAUUAGCUUCUCUGAGGCCAAAGAAACUUUGUGUUGGAGGAGUGUGUAAGUCACUGGCUGUAAUGUUUGCAAGUUGUUUUGUUCAUUGGUUCAAAUAAAGUUGACAAAAAAAUGAAUCACAA